GACGAACGCUGGCGGCGUGCUUAACACAUGCAAGUCGAACGGAAAGGCCCUGCUUUUGUGGGGUGCUCGAGUGGCGAACGGGUGAGUAACACGUGAGUAACCUGCCCUUGACUUUGGGAUAACUUCAGGAAACUGGGGCUAAUACCGGAUAGGAGCUCCUGCUGCAUGGUGGGGGUUGGAAAGUUUCGGCGGUUGGGGAUGGGCUCGCGGCUUAUCAGCUUGUUGGUGGGGUAGUGGCUUACCAAGGGUUUGACGGGUAGCCGGCCUGGGAGGGUGACCGGCCACAUUGCGACUGCGAUACGGCCCAGACUCCUACGGGAGGCAGCAGUGGGGAAUAUUGCACAAUGGGCGGAAGCCUGAUGCAGCAACGCCGCGUGCGUGAUGACGGCCUUCGGGUUGUAAACCGCUUUCGCCGGUGACGAAGCGUGAGUGACGGUAAUGGGUAAAGAAGCACCGGCUAACUACGUG
rnacentral:rRNA from 1 species